GUAUGAACCACUACGACCCAUCGUCUGUUUGUCUCAACUCGUGCCUGCAUCAAUCCUGUUGUUGCAGCUCCGUCUGCUCCUCCGUCCUGACUAAGACUUCAGAUCAAAGUCACCAAGAAGUUGACUCAGAGAUGAGUAACUCCACACCUCCUGGUGGCCCCGCCCCCUACUUUAGGAAACACUGAUAUAAAGCAUCUCUGGAAAACUACUUAGAGGAGCAGCAGCUCGAGGUGUUCCAGUGGAUUCCAGAGACCCAGUUUAAUUUAUUCAUCAGUUCCCUUCACCUUCAUCUGGUCACCACUGCGCCUCUACGGCCACAUUAUUCUGAUUAUCUCACAACAACAGACCAUAAAGUCAGAGUGGACCCACGGAGACCACCCCACGACUCAGGCCAUAAAAUCCCAGCUCACCGUUCGCUCUUUGUUCUCGAACACCUCAUUGGCUUCUUCAAAACUGCAGCUCUCCUCGACACACUCCCGUUCGAUGUUCCCCUGUCGCAGCUCCUCCAUGUAGCCAUUGGCUCGAGGGAAUCGUUUCAGGAGGGAGUGAGCAUCCUUAAAAGUCAGGAAUGCUGCAACACAGGAAUGAACUCGUCAAUCACCUGGACUCACACACACAAAACCCCACUUUAAAGUUGUGUGUUUCCCUCACCUACAGCCAUGCUUCUUCCCUGUUAUUCACACACUGACCAGGAACGAACCUGCAGCAUCAAAACAACACAUUCAUUACUUUCAAUCCAUGGCUCCAAGAUUUGACCAGGCUACGCUAGUGCUUCCUACCCCAGUUACAAAUGAGAGGAAAACAGGAAAAUGUAGCUCAGGCCUGGUGUCUCUGCUGAGGAGGAAACCCUUCAUAAAUGACAUUCGUGAGCUUCCUCGUCACUGCUGAA